rnacentral:lncRNA from 1 species
AUCCCAGUAGCCCAGAGCAGCCCGCGGGGCAGGCCCGGGCUGCCGCGGACUCCUCUUGCAGAAAAGCCUUUGAUGCUGUAUUCUUAGCACAUGGAACCCUAAACCAAAGCCUGCACUGGGGCAUUUGUGAGAAGCGUGUGUGCAAAGCCUGAGAGACUCCCCUUUUGGGCAUGCUGCUGGGCAGGGGUGUUCUGGUUUGACUUUGUACAUUUAGAUGUGGCCAGGUGACAAAGUUCUGUACAGUGGAAUGUAAACAGAAGUAUCAUGUGAGAGUUUCCAAGAACUUUUUCAGGAGGGAGGAAACACAUGUCCUUUGCCCUCCCUUUUUGUUUGCUGCCUUCUCCAUCCUAUAGCCUGGAAUACAGACAUGAUGGCUACCAUCUUGGACUAUGAACAUGAGGAUCACACCCAAGGGAAGGAGAGGCAGCAAGCUGGAAGGUACUAUGGAGCAGAACUGCCACAGCCUGAGUACCUACCUCUGGAACUUUCUGUGAGAAAUGAAAUGGGCCCAACAGUUCCAUAAACAGUUGUUUUGGGAUAAACAUAGAAAUGGCCCCUAGCUUGAAAUUUGCAUUUGUUUUAUCUGAGUUCCCUCCUCAGGAAAGGACCUUCAGGCCUCUCAAAAAAGUAUCAAGAGAACUGACACCAGAUGCCUCCUUGCCCCUCCCUAGUUCCUGUUUUCUUAAACAUUGUUACAUAUCUUCCCUGCUAUGUAAGCCCCUAGAUUUAGUCAGUCAGGGAGAUGGAUUUGAGACUGAGCUCUCAUAACUUGGCUGCAGCACCCGAUUAAAGCCUUCUUCCUUGGC